rnacentral:rRNA from 1 species
AUUGAACGCUGGCGGCAGGCCUAACACAUGCAAGUCGAGCGGGAACUUCGGUUCUAGCGGCGGACGGGUGAGUAAUGCGUAGGAAGCUACCCGACAGAGGGGGAUACCAGUUGGAAACGACUGUUAAUACCGCAUAAUGUCUACGGACCAAAGUGUGGGACCUUCGGGCCACAUGCUGUCGGAUGCGCCUACGUGGGAUUAGCUAGUUGGUGAGGUAAUGGCUCACCAAGGCGACGAUCCCUAGCUGGUUUGAGAGGAUGAUCAGCCACACUGGAACUGAGACACGGUCCAUACUCCUACGGGAGGCAGCAGUGGGGGAUAUUGGACAAUGGGCGCAAGCCUGAUCCAGCCAUGCCGCGUGUGUGAAGAAGGCCCUCGGGUUGUAAAGCUCUUUCAGUAGGGAGGAAGAGUUGAGUGUUAAUAGUGCUCAGCUUUGACGUUACCUACAGAAGAAGCACCGGCUAACUCUGUGCCAGCAGCCGCGGUAACAC